GAGUUUGAUCCUGGCUCAGAAUCAACGCUGGCGGCGUGCCUAACACAUGCAAGUCGAACGAGAAAGGGUAGCAAUACCUGAGUAAAGUGGCGCACGGGUGAGUAACACGUGACUAACCUACCCUGGAGUGGGGGAUAACUGAGGGAAACCUUAGCUAAUACCGCAUAAUACCUACGGGUCAAAGGAGCAAUUCGCUUUGGGAGGGGGUCGCGGCCGAUUAGUUAGUUGGCGGGGUAAUGGCCCACCAAGACAGUGAUCGGUAUCCGGCCUGAGAGGGCGCACGGACACACUGGAACUGAAACACGGUCCAGACUCCUACGGGAGGCAGCAGUGGGGAAUUUUGCGCAAUGGGGGAAACCCUGACGCAGCAACGCCGCGUGGAGGAUGAAGUACUUCGGUACGUAAACUCCUUUCGAUCGGGACGAUAAUGACGGUACCGGAAGAAGAAGCCCCGGCUAACUUCGUGCCAGCAGCCGCGGUAAUACGAGGGGGGCGAGCGUUGUUCGGAAUUAUUGGGCGUAAAGGGUGCGUAGGCGGUUUGGUAAGUCUCUUGUGAAAUCUAUGGGCUCAACUCAUAGACUGCAAGGGAAACUGCCGGGCUUGAGUG
rnacentral:rRNA from 1 species